GAUAAAAUGGCUGAGGGUUAAGCGGUAAAUUGUAAAUUUAUUAACGAAAUUUAAUUUUCUUUUGUCA
rnacentral:tRNA from 1 species